GACGAACGCUGGCGGCGUGCCUAACACAUGCAAGUCGAACGGAAAGGCCCUGCUUUUGCGGCGUUCUCGAGUGGCGAACGGGUGAGUAACACGUGAGUAACCCCCCCUUGUCUUUGGGAUAACUUCAGGAAACAGGGGCUCAUAUCGCGGAGGAGCUCUUGCUGCACGGUGGGGGUAGGAGAGAUACGGUGGUUGGGGAUGUACUCGCGGCUUAUCAGCUUGAUGGGGGGGUAGUGGCUUUCCCAGGCUUCGACGGGAAGGCGGCCUGAGAGAGUGACCCGCGACACUGGGACUGAGGUGCGGCACAGACAGCUAAGGGAGGGAGCAGUGGGGAAGACUGCACGAUGGGCGGAAGCCGGGUGCAGCAACGCCGCGUGCGGGAUGACGGCCUUCGGGUUGUAGACCGCAUGCGCAUGUGACGAAGCGUAAGUGACGGUAAUGGGUACAGAAGCACCGGCUAACUACGUG
rnacentral:rRNA from 1 species